AACGAACGCUGGCGGCAGGCUUAACACAUGCAAGUCGAACGCCCCGCAAGGGGAGUGGCAGACGGGUGAGUAACGCGUGGGAACAUACCCUUUCCUGCGGAAUAGCUCCCGGAAACUGGAAUCAAUACCGCAUACGCCCUACGGGGGAAAGAUUUAUCGGGGAAGGAUUGGCCCGCGUUGGAUUAGCUAGUUGGUGGGGUAAAGGCCUACCAAGGCGACGAUCCAUAGCUGGUCUGAGAGGAUGAUCAGCCACAUUGGGACUGAGACACGGCCCAAACUCCUACGGGAGGCAGCAGUGGGGAAUAUUGGACAAUGGGCGCAAGCCUGAUCCAGCCAUGCCGCGUGAGUGAUGAAGGCCUUAGGGUUGUAAAGCUCUUUCACCGAUGAAGAUAAUGACGGUAGUCGGAGAAGAAGCCCCGGCUAACUUCGUGCCAGCCGCCGCGGUAACAC
rnacentral:rRNA from 1 species